AAAAAUUCUUUAAUGUCGACGUUAGUUCUGAGGGGCACCGAAGUCUACGUUCCUUUAUUUUCACCAAAUUCGAGGGUCGUAGACGUCGGAUGUUAGGGGCACCGACGUUAACUUCCCUGACAGGAAGCCAAAACGUCAAUCUUUUCAGCUUCCUAGACGUCGGUUUCUGGAGCAACCGACGCCCCAUUUUCAUUUUUAAUAGACCGCGGUCUCUUCUCAAAAUUCAGUUUCAAUCGCGUCUUUAUUUCUUCUCCUUUUUCUCUGCUUCUCCUCUACUAUUUAUCUCUUGCUGCAUUGCGUUGUCGUUUCUCAUAAUGUCAUUGGCUUCGUCCUCUCCUUUUUCUCUCUUGCAUCCCAAGUUCAUGGUUUUUUUUUUUAUGCUACCCGUUUAAACUUUCUUUAGUUUUUUAUCGAUUAUCUUGUCGUUGAACUGAUUAAAAUUUCCUUUAUUUGUGUUGUGUUUUAGUGCAGUUUUGAUCCUCUCUUUGGGUAACAUAGUGUAACAUUCUUCCUUUGCUGGUUUCCUCACAAGAAGAGUGGCGAUCUUUUGAGUUCUCUAGUUCUUCCGACCCAAAAUGGAACCUGAGUCCUUGUCUACUUCUCG
rnacentral:lncRNA from 1 species